rnacentral:lncRNA from 1 species
CCCACUUCCGCUCGCCGCCUGGACGCGCGGCCCCGCGGCGCCAUUUCCGCUUCAACCACUCGUGAACGCGAGCGCAGGCGCGCCGGAGGAAACGGAGGCUGCGCUUGCGUAUGUGUGAUGCCGCCGCCCCACCGUCUACUUUCCCACCGACCCCGCUUACGUCUACCGCCUACCAAAACCUCGCAAGAAGCUCGCCCUUGUCGUCUCCCAGCGGGCUUCUUAGCUCCCAGCUUGUUUGAUGGGGGUGCCUCUUUUUCUUUCCAGGUAUAGCUGUCCAGCGACACCAUCAUGCAUUCAUUUCUCCAACAAACAUUUUCAUGGGCUCUUGCUCUAUACUGGGGAUGUAGUGGUAAAUGAAAUGGACGAGGCCCUGCCCUCGUGGAACUUACAGUCUGGCAAAGGAAACAGACAAUAAAAUUCUCAGUUGUCUAAGGAGGCAGAGAUGCAUGGGGAGAGGAUCAGAGUAGGGAUGCGGAAGCAGCGAGUGGUCAGGAGUGUGCGUGCCAAAAGGCAGGAGACCUGUGGGACGUGGGGGCAGCUGGGGCCGGAACUUGCGCUGGAGGAACACCCCUUGCCUGCUGGGGCGAGAAGAGGACCCUUUCCUUGGGUGAAAUUCCCCAUAUUGUUAAAAGGACAAUUAAAGAAAUGAAAGAGAGGUCACCUGGGUGAAUAGGCAACUUAGAUGGGCCUCCCUGUGUUCCUGUCAUGCCUCCAAUUCUGCGUCCAGGUGUCCGGAACACAUUUUUUUCUGCCUUUGAAACCUUCCAGUACCUCUGGCAGAGAUAUACCAUACCCUCCUUGUUACCUGCGUGCGGAAUCUUAACUCAUCGUUGUGCUACAUCUGCACCUUCUGCCUUUGUGCCUUGUUUUGUGUUUUCCCUCCUCCGGGGAGAAUAUAAUAAACUUAGCUGAGUCCGUUCUACAUACAAGGAAAUAAUUUAUUUUCUGCUAUGUGUUUGGGGAUGGGGAUAAAAAAAUGAACAAGAAACUAGCUCCUAUCAUUAAGGCACAGAUAGCCCUUUGAAACAUUACUUAACGGGCUAUGGAUAAGCUUCAGGAUAUUGCUGAUCCCCUAAAAUUAUACGCUAACUUAAAUUUUUUUUUUUUUGAGACAGAGUCUUGCACUCUUGCCCAGGCUGGAGUGCAAUGGCAUGAUCUCGGCUCACUGCAACCUCUGCCUCCCCGGUUCAAGCGAUUCUCCUGCCUCAGCCUCCCAAAUAGCUGGGAUUAAAGGUGCCUGCCACCAUGCCCUUUUAAUGUUUUGUAUUUUUAGUAGAGACGGGGUUUCACUAUGUUGGUCAGGCUGGUCUCGAACUCCUGACAUCAUGAUCCUCCUGCCUCGACCUCCCA